UAAACACUCUGGCCUCUGGUUGGGGCUUCCUCAAGGGCAGAGAGGGAGGCAUCUGGGACCUGUACCCUCCUGUCCCCUUCGCUUCUGCUGCAUGUCUAGGGGCUGCAGGCUUGCCCAUGGCAUCUCCUUUAUUGGUGACAGGCCAACUCUUGUACUUUGUAUAGUCGGCCCUGGCGCUAGCACUAAUCCAGGUACCUUAGAGACAGUGUACCCAUUUUAUAGAUGAAGGGACUGAGGCUUAGAGACGUGAGCUGAUUGACCUGAAGUCACACAGUUGGGUGUCCUGCAGCUGAUUUUCCGCUUCUCAUGUGAGAUAAGGGUUGCGGCCAAACUUACCCAGCCCUGGUUGCCACAUCCAUUGGGGAAAAUCUGCCCAGAAUCUCAGGGCUGCAGGGAGGGCUCUGGGAGAUCCAGAGGCACAGAGGUUGGAGAGGGUCAUCCACUUCUCAUCCACAUCAUUAUUCCUCUUUAGGGGAUCAGGGCACCAAGGGCAAUUGGGCAAACAUAGUGAUCCAGGUAGGGUGGUACCUUCGAGGCAGGGGCAGGAAUUACCUCAUCAGACUAGCUAAAGUCACCAACACACAGCAGGUCUGCCAGGAGGGGACACGUUCGUCCUCGGUGGAGAGAAGGAGGAGAGAAGUUGAGGACAGCACCCUGGGGUAAUGAUGAUGGUGAUGGUCACCAGCAAUGACUGUGUACCUACUGUAUGCCCAGCUCCAGUGUCAGUGCGCAGUGCGCCUGACCACACUUGAUGCUCACCACCAGUCACAGUUAGACACAUGUUGCCCAUUUUGCGGAUGAGGAGAUAAAGCACAGAGGAAAGUCAAGUGUUCCAGGUCACAAAAGGGCAAGCGGCAGAGCUGGGAUUCAAACCCUGCUCUGGCUGAUCUCACAGCUGGAUGUCUGCAAACCCUGCCCAGCACCUGCUGCUUCCCCUGAGUCCUCACCUGCUGUGCGCUCUGGCCCGU
rnacentral:lncRNA from 1 species